CGGCGACGGGUGAGUAACGCGUAGGAAUCUACCCAGUAGUGGGGGACAACAGUCGGAAACGGCUGCUAAUACCGCAUACGCCCUAUGGGGGAAAGCGGGGGACCUUCGGGCCUCGCGCUAUUGGAUGAGCCUGCGUCGGAUUAGCUUGUUGGUGAGGUAAAGGCUCACCAAGGCGACGAUCCGUAGCUGGUCUGAGAGGAUGAUCAGCCACACUGGAACUGAGACACGGUCCAG
rnacentral:rRNA from 1 species